rnacentral:rRNA from 1 species
AGUGAACGCUGGCGGUAGGCCUAACACAUGCAAGUCGAACGGCAGCACAGUAAGAGUUUGCUCUUACGGGUGGCGAGUGGCGGACGGGUGAGGAAUACAUCGGAAUCUACUUUUUCGUGGGGGAUAACGUAGGGAAACUUACGCUAAUACCGCAUAUGACCUACGGGUGAAAGCAGGGGAUCUUCGGACCUUGCGCGAUUGAAUGAGCCGAUGUCGGAUUAGCUAGUUGGCGGGGUAAAGGCCCACCAAGGCGACGAUCCGUAGCUGGUCUGAGAGGAUGAUCAGCCACACUGGAACUGAGACACGGUCCAGACUCCUACGGGAGGCAGCAGUGGGGAAUAUUGGGCAAUGGGCGCAAGCCUGAUCCAGCCAUACCGCGUGAGUGAAGAAGGCCUUCGGGUUGUAAAGCCCUUUUAUUGGGAAAGAAAAGCAGCAGGUUAAUACCCCGCUGUUCUGACGGUACCCAAAGAAUAAGCACCGGCUAACUUCGUG